rnacentral:rRNA from 1 species
UACGGAGGGUGCAAGCGUUAUCCGGAUUCACUGGGUUUAAAGGGUGCGUAGGUGGGCUAGUAAGUCCGUGGUGAAAUCUCCAAGCUUAACUCGGAAACUGCCGUGGAUACUAUUAGUCUUGAAUAUUGUGGAGGUAAGCGGAAUAUGUCAUGUAGCGGUGAAAUGCUUAGAUAUGACAUAGAACACCGAUAGCGAAGGCAGCUUGCUACACAACCAUUGACACUGAGGCACGAAAGCGUGGGGAUCAAACAGG